rnacentral:rRNA from 1 species
UACAGAGGGGCGAGCGUUGUUCGGAAUUACUGGGCGUAAAGGGCGCGUAGGCGGCCUUCUAAGUCGAACGUGAAAUCCCCGGGCUCAACCCGGGAACUGCGUCCGAUACUGGGAGGCUUGAAUCCGGGAGAGGGAUGUGGAAUUCCAGGUGUAGCGGUGAAAUGACGUAGAUAUCUGGAGGAACACCGGUGGCGAAGGCGGCAUCCUGGACCGGUAUUGACGCUGAGGCGCGAAAAGCCAGGGGGAGCAAACGGG